rfam:Ixodes scapularis strain Wikel colony gcontig_1107729006460, whole genome shotgun sequence.
AAAACGGUCCUUUUAAGGACCACUUAUUUGCUUUAAGAUCGGAUUGU